UAGGGAAUCUUCCGCAAUGGGCGAAAGCCUGACGGAGCAACGCCGCGUGAGUGAUGAAGGUCUUCGGAUCGUAAAACUCUGUUAUUAGGGAAGAACAAAUGUGUAAGUAACUAUGCACGUCUUGACGGUACCUAAUCAGAAAGCCACGGCUAACUACGUGCCAGCAGCCGCGGUAAUACGUAGGUGGCAAGCGUUAUCCGGAAUUAUUGGGCGUAAAGCGCGCGUAGGCGGUUUUUUAAGUCUGAUGUGAAAGCCCACGGCUCAACCGUGGAGGGUCAUUGGAAACUGGAAAACUUGGGUGCAGAAGAGGAAAGUGGAAUUCCAUGUGUAGCGGUGAAAUGCGCAGAAAUAUGGAGGAACACCAGUGGCGAAGGCGACUUUCUGAUCUGUAACUGACGCUGAUGUGCGAAAGCGUGAGGAUCAAACAGG
rnacentral:rRNA from 1 species